rnacentral:tRNA from 1 species
GGGAAUCUAGCUUAGUGGUAAAGUGCUUGCCUAGCAUGCCAGGGGCCUUGAGUUUGAUUCCCAGCAAUCCCC